CUCUAAUUUCUCUUCAUUAUUUCUCUUCAUAUGACAAGGAUUGAAAAGGAUUUGCCAGUAGAUUGUCGACGUGAUUCAUGAUGAUUGGCUGCUAGCUUGCUAGCUAAGAUUUAGAAAGUAUGAUGUUGACAUGAUCAGUCUAAUCAAAGCUACUGUAGAUGUAACGUGAUUUGAAGUCAUUUUAUCUGUGGCCAAUGACCUUUAGACUUCAUGGAUGGGCACUUCUAAUGUAAUUCUAUGACAGCACCCAAGGGGCUUGAAUUUUUUAGCUCUACCCGUAGAUUUUGAGGUGACGUAAUGUCCCCAUGAGUGACAGAACACUGAGACAAUCACUGCACAACUAGAGAACAUUACCAACCCCUAUGUUCCAUAUUUUCCACUGCCUGCCGUACCACCACAGAAAGCACCAACAUUUUGGAGCUGCCUUAAGAAACGAGAAAAUAGAUGAUGUUUGUAUGCAGCUUUAUAAACUCAAUGACAAUUUUUUGUACAUUGUUUGCAAACUGAUAUGUGACAUGUAUUAAUGCCAAAAUAACAUGCAAAACAGGCAAACAGGUGGAGCUUUGCCUGCCCUCAGGGAUGGGUCGCCACUGCUUGUAGAUAGGGUUUUCGCCCUGGACGGCACAAGAGAAACAAGGAGAAAACGUUAGAAUUGUAAUGUACAGUCAGUCAUAAUAUAUCUGUCACAUAACAUGUCAGUCGUGUGACAACAGCUGCAACAUGAGACAAUUUAUUAGGAAAAAACACCACUGCAGAAUCCAAGCCAUCCAUUUAGAAUAUCAAACGAUUAUGAAGCAUUCUUUGGACAGAUCUUUCCAACUGAUCGUGCUAUCACCUGGAUACGCUGCUGUCAUUGUGAGUGAGCAUUUAUGUUGUCAUCCAUGGAACACUUUUAGAAGAAAUAUCAACAAACGUCACAGUCACAACAUGCCAUUUCCAUCAUACUGUAGCAUUAAAUACAAUAUAAAUAUUAGACUUAAACUGAAGUGUACUGGGCCUACAUGUAACCACCUGUUAAUACUUACCUCCAUUUAAACUACUAACAGAUGGGACAGCUUGUGUUGACCAACAAAACAAUAGAUAUUAUUGUGGGUUUUAAUAUCCCCUCAUAUGGAUCUUUCUGCAUAGUUUCAUCAACUGUCUUAUUUGGCCCAAAGAGACCAAAUGAAUGCCAGAAAUAUUGAGAUGGAUGAAAAAGUGACAGUUUACAGUAUGUCGACAGACACAAACAUAUAAACAAACAAACAAACAGGAAACCCAUGCAGGAAAACAGAGGAGAGGGAAAGUAAAUACAAACUUAUAGAACCACAGCUUUAUGUCCAUAGUUCGGAUUCUGGAACUUAUUAAUAGGGCUCUUGUAAAUGGGAUUCUCUUGCAAUGGGGAGAGAGUGGGACAUAAAAUGAAGAACAGGAAACAGAGAAUGAAAUGAAAAGCAUGGGUGAAGACAAAUGAGAAGGAAUGAAACAAUGAUAUGACAAAGAAGUGAAAAAAUGAAUCCCCUGAAAAAGGGGUAUUUCUACAUCAGGAUCCAAGACUCAGAGGUUGAUCAUCUCCCUUUGAAAAUCAUCUUACAGUGCUGGUUAUAUUCCCCUUUAAUAUGUAACAAGUCAGGUCAGUCUGCUCUCUCAUACAGUCAUUUAGGUCUGGUGUCUUCUCCAUGUACCAUAAUGAGAGGGUCCAGAAGCCUCAGUGCCCUGCCCAUGUCACCAGACCAGAGAGGCUAUCACAUGUGGCUGGUCUGACUGGGAGUAAUCAGGAUGAGCUGAAUCAUUAAGGAUUUCAAACCCUGCCUGCUGUCUGGAAUUUAACCUCUCCUGCAGUGUAGAUGACAUGCCACUAGGUUGAAGUAUAACACAGAACAAACUAAGCUGCUGUAGCCACUCCCAUGAAAAGACAGAUGUGUGUCCAGACCUUUGCAUUCCAAAAAGGCUUCCUUUUUUCAUAGCCAUAUUUUGCACAGAGAUUACUUAAAACUACAGGGUUUUAAGAACAUUUUAAACAAAUUGUUGGGUAGGACUGUGGAAAAAUGUGUGUGACAUCUUAUGAAGUCAUCGUCAAAAGCAACUAUCAUCAAAGGUUGAGAGAGAGUAAAACAUUUCCAAUUCUGUAUUCCUUCAGGAGUCUGUUCUCUGCGUAAGAAAUUCACACAGUGGCCAUAUCUAUAACACCAGUUUUCCACAUCUCAAUCAACUUACUGAAAUUACAGUCAGGGAGAAUACAAACUAGGACCUGCAAAAGUACAUCAUCAUCAUCAUCAUCCCCAUUAUGGGCCAUAAUGAAUAGUGGUCCUGUAUCUACCACCUCCACUCUCUUACUGUGUCCCAUUUAGCAUUCAUCUUCUCCUUCUCAAACUUGGCGAACUCUCUCCUGUCGUGGAUGAUCAUCAGCAGCUUCCAGAUGAGAAGCAAAGCCAGGCCGAUCAGCACGAUGCCCGCCACCACGCCAGCCCACAGUUGGGAUGAUCGCAGGGCAGUCUGGAACACAGGCAGGAAACACACAGUCAGGAACAUUCAGUUAUACCAACUUGUGUUUAUUUAUUUAACCAGGUGUAGUAGAACCAGCAGUCGUUGGCAUCCCUCUCCUUACAGUGCAUCAGGGGGAAAGCCUGUCCUGGCUGAGGCAGCUUGCCCCUGUCCUUCACCUUGAUCAGGUUGAAGUAGCUACAGUCUCUCUCACACGUGUCCUUCUUCUCCCCCGUCCCAAAGGCCCUGCACUGAACACACUCCCUGUGGAAGACAGGACAUUGACAUGUAACUCUGUACAGAUGGAGUAACACACGCAGGUAGUCUCGCAUUUGGAUGCUUGCUAGACUUGUGACAUAUUCACUAGUAGGACUGUGGCAGUCACAAAAUGUAUCGUCAAGCAAAUAACUGUCGGUCUCAUGGUAAUUGAUGCUAAUUAAAACACAUUUAUCAUCUCCUGGCUUCCACACUUACAAACCACUGAUGCAGACCUUUGGAACAUCUACAUUUUAAAAAGUCUAAUAAAUCCAUGUAAUAUAGCCUACACCUUCACAAUAAAUCCAUUAUUUAUUUUAGACAGGUUUAAAGAAACAUGAUAUGAAGAAAAUAUAGUCUAUUUCAGAAGAACAGAAUAGCAUACUCUUAGUUGUCCUUAUGUUAGGUCCUGAUCUGGCUAUGAUAAAUGGCUAUAUGGGCUACAAAGAUUUGCUUAGAAUUCCGUGGCAUUAUUUUAUA
rnacentral:lncRNA from 1 species